CCUCGAAUGAACCACCCAGCUCCUGUGAAAGUCACAUACAAGAACAUGAGAUUUCCUAUUACACACAAUCCAACCAAUGUGACCUUAAAUAAAUUUAUAGAGGAGCUUAAGAAGUAUGGAGCUACCACAAUAGUAAGAGUAUGUGAAGCAACUUAUGACACUACUCUUGUGGAGAAAGAAGGUAUCCAUGUUCUCAAUUGGCCUUUUGGUGAUGGUGCACCACCAUCCAACCAGAUUGUUGCUGAUUGGUUACAUUUUGUAAAAAUUAAGUUUUGUGAAGAACCUGGUUGUUAUAUUGCUGUUAAUUGCAUUGUAGGCCUUGGGAAAGCUCCAGUACUUGUUGCCCUAGCAUCAGUUGAAGGUGGAAUGAAACAUGAAGAUGCAGUACAAUUCAUAGGACAAAAGCGGAGUGGAGCUUUUAAAAGCAAGCAACUUUUGUAUUUGGAGAAGUAUCAUCCUAAAAUGCGGCUGCGCUUCAAAGAUUCCAAUAGUCAUAUAAACAACUGUUGCAUUC
rnacentral:lncRNA from 1 species